rnacentral:rRNA from 1 species
GACGAACCGAGCGAACGUUGUUCGGAAUCACUGGGCUUAAAGGGCGCGUAGGCGGGUUCUCAAGUCCGGGGUGAAAUCCCACAGCUCAACUGUGGAACUGCCUCGGAUACUGGGGGCCUCGAGGGUGGUAGGGGUAUGCGGAACUAUCGGUGGAGCGGUGAAAUGCGCAGAUAUCAGGAGGAACACCGGUGGCGAAGGCGGAUCUCUGGGCCAUUACUGACGCUGAGGAGCGAAAGCGUGGGGAGCGAACAGG